rnacentral:rRNA from 1 species
UACGUAGGGGGCUAGCGUUGCUCGGAAUUACUGGGCGUAAAGCGCACGUAGGCGGAUUGUUAAGUCAGGGGUGAAAUCCUGGAGCUCAACUCCAGAACUGCCUUUGAUACUGGCGAUCUUGAGUCCGGGAGAGGUGAGUGGAACUGCGAGUGUAGAGGUGAAAUUCGUAGAUAUUCGCAAGAACACCAGUGGCGAAGGCGGCUCACUGGCCCGGUACUGACGCUGAGGUGCGAAAGCGUGGGGAGCAAACAGG